AGCGAACGCUGGCGGCAGGCCUAACACAUGCAAGUCGAACGAACUCUUCGGAGUUAGUGGCGGACGGGUGAGUAACACGUGGGAACGUGCCUUUAGGUUCGGAAUAACUCAGGGAAACUUGUGCUAAUACCGAAUGUGCCCUUCGGGGUAAAGAUUUAUCGCCUUUAGAGCGGCCCGCGUCUGAUUAGCUAGUUGGUGAGGUAAAGGCUCACCAAGGCGACGAUCAGUAGCUGGUCUGAGAGGAUGAUCAGCCACAUUGGGACUGAGACACGGCCCAAACUCCUACGGGAGGGAGCAGUGGGGAAUCUUGCGCAAGGGGCGAAAGCCUGACGCAGCCAUGCCGCGUGAAUGAUGAAGGUCUUAGGAUUGUAAAAUUCUUUCACCGGGGACGAUAAUGACGGUACCCGGAGAAGAAGCCCCGGCUAACUUCGUG
rnacentral:rRNA from 1 species